rnacentral:rRNA from 1 species
UCGGGAAUUUUGGGCAAUGGGCGAAAGCCUGACCCAGCAACGCCGCGUGAAGGAUGAAGUAUUUCGGUAUGUAAACUUCGUAAGAAUAGGAAGAAUAAAUGACGGUACUAUUUGUAAGGUCCGGCUAACUACGUGCCAGCAGCCGCGGUAAUACGUAGGGACCAAGCGUUGUUCGGAUUUACUGGGCGUAAAGGGCGCGUAGGCGGUGUGUCAAGUCAGUUGUGAAAUCUCCGAGCUUAACUCGGAACGGUCAACUGAUACUGUCACACUAGAGUACAGAAGGGGCAAUCGGAAUUCUUGGUGUAGCGGUGAAAUGCGUAGAUAUCAAGAGGAACACCUGAGGCGAAGGCGGGUUGCUGGGCUGAUACUGACGCUGAGGCGCGAAAGCUAGGGUAGCGAAGAGGAUUAGAUACCCCCGUAGUCCCUGAGCGGGCUGGCAAGGCGCAU